GAUGAACGCUGGCGGCGUGCCUAAUACAUGCAAGUCGAGCGAACGGACGCGACGCUUGCUUCUCUGAUGUUAGCGGCGGACGUGUGAGUAACACGUGGAUAACCUACCUAUAAGACUGGGAUAACUUCGGGAAACCGUAGCUAAUCCCGUAUAAUAUUUUGAACCGCAUGGUUCAAAAGUGAAAGACGGUCUUUCUGUCACUUAUCGAUGGAUCCGCGCUGCAUUAGCUAGGUGGUAAGGUAACGGCUUACCAAGGCAACGAUGCAUAGCCGACCUGAGAGGGGGGUAGGCGACACGAGAAGGGAGACACGGUCCAGAGUCCUACGGGAGGCAGCAGUAGGGAAUCGGACGCAAUGGGGGAAAGCCUGACGGAGCAACGCCGAGUGAGUGAUGAAGGUGUUAGGAGCGUAAAACUGUGUUAUUAGGGAAGAACAGAUGUGGAAGUAACUGUGCAGAGCUUGACGGUACCUAAUCAGAAAGCAACGGCUAACUACGUG
rnacentral:rRNA from 1 species